rnacentral:rRNA from 1 species
UGCCAGCCGCCGCGGUAACACGGGGGGCGCAAGCGUUAUUCGGAAUUAUUGGGCGUAAAGGGCGCGCAGGCGGUCUUGUCCGUCAGGUGUGAAAGCUCGGGGCUCAACCCCGGAAGUGCACUUGAAACAGCAAGACUUGAAUACGGUAGAGGAGAGAGGAAUUCCUGGUGUAGAGGUGAAAUUCGUAGAUAUCAGGAGGAACACCGAUGGCGAAGGUGGCUUACUGGGUCACAACUGACGCUGAGGCACGAAAGCGUGGGGAGCAAACAGGAUUAGAUA